CCUGAAGCGCCCGCGAUGGCGAGCCCGCCGGAGCACGGGCCCCCCGGGCCGGCGGGCGGGGACGGCCCCAACCUCAACAACAACAACAACAACAACAACCACAGCGUGCGCAAGUGCGGCUACCUGCGCAAGCAGAAGCACGGCCACAAGCGCUUCUUCGUGCUGCGCGGGCCCGGCGCGGGCGGCGACGAGGCGGGCGCGGGCGGGGGCCCGGCGCCGCAGCCGCCGCGGCUCGAGUACUACGAGAGCGAGAAGAAGUGGCGGAGCAAGGCGGGCGCCCCGAAGCGGGUCAUCGCGCUCGACUGCUGCCUGAACAUCAACAAGCGCGCCGACGCCAAGCACAAGUACCUGAUCGCCCUCUACACCAAGGACGAGUACUUCGCCGUGGCGGCCGACAACGAGCAGGAGCAGGAGGGCUGGUACCGCGCGCUCACCGACCUGGUCAGCGAGGGCCGCGCGGGCGCCGGCGACGCGCCCCCCGCCGCCGCCGCCGCCGCCGCCGCCUCCGGGUCCUGCAGCGCCUCCCUGCCCGGCGCCCUGGGCGGCUCGGCGGGCGCCGCCGCGGCCGAUGACAGCUACGGGCUGGUGGCGCCCGCCACGGCCGCCUACCGCGAGGUGUGGCAGGUGAACCUGAAGCCCAAGGGCCUGGGCCAGAGCAAGAACCUGACGGGCGUGUACCGCCUGUGCCUGUCGGCGCGCACCAUCGGCUUCGUGAAGCUCAACUGCGAGCAGCCGUCGGUGACGCUGCAGCUCAUGAGCAUCCGCCGCUGCGGCCACUCGGACAGCUUCUUCUUCAUCGAGGUGGGCCGCUCGGCCGUCACGGGCCCCGGCGAGCUGUGGAUGCAGGCGGACGACUCGGUGGUGGCGCAGAACAUCCACGAGACCAUCCUGGAGGCCAUGAAGGCGCUCAAGGAGCUCUUCGAGUUCCGGCCGCGCAGCAAGAGCCAGUCGUCCGGCUCGUCGGCCACGCACCCCAUCAGCGUGCCCGGCGCGCGCCGCCAUCACCACUUGGUCAACCUGCCCCCGAGCCAGACGGGGCUGGUGCGCCGCUCGCGCACCGACAGCCUGGCAGCCACCCCGCCCGCCGCCAAGUGCAGCGCGUGCCGGGUGCGCACGGCCAGCGAGGGCGACGGCGGCGCGGCGGCGGCGGCGGCGGCUGCGGCGGCGGCGGGGGCCGGGGCGGGGUCCGGGGCGGCGGCGGCGGCGGCGGGCGGCAGGCCGGUGUCGGUGGCGGGCAGCCCCCUGAGCCCGGGCCCGGUGCGCGCGCCACUGAGCCGCUCGCACACGCUGAGCGGCGGCCGCGCGGGCAAGGCGGCGCUGGCGCCGGCAGGGGGCGGCCUGCAGCACAGCCGCUCCAUGUCCAUGCCAGUGGCGCACUCGCCCCCGGCGGCCACCAGCCCCGGCAGCCUGUCGUCCAGCAGCGGGCACGGCUCGGGCUCCUACCCGCCGCCCCCCGGCCCGCACCCGCACCUGCAGCACCCCCUGCACCCCCAGCGCCCCUCCAGCGGCAGCGCCUCGGCCUCGGGCUCCCCCAGCGACCCCGGCUUCAUGUCCUUGGACGAGUAUGGCUCCAGCCCCGGGGACCUGAGGGUCUACUGCGGCCACCGGAGCAACACGCCCGAGUCCAUCGCCGAGACGCCCCCGGCGCGGGAUGGCAGCGCGGGUGAGCUGUACGGCUACAUGACCAUGGAGCGGCCGCUGAGCCACUGCGGCGGCCGCGCCUACCGCAGGGUCUCCGGGGACGGCGCCCCGGACUUGGACCGAGGGCUGAGGAAGCGGACUUACUCGCUGACCACGCCUGCCCGGCAGCGGCCGGCGCCCCAGCCGUCCUCCGCGUCCCUGGACGAGUACACGCUGAUGCGGGCCACCUUCUCGGGCAGCUCCGGCCGCCUGUGCCCGUCCUGCAGCGCGUCCUCUCCCAAGGUGGCCUACCACCCGUACCCCGAGGACUACGGCGACGUCGAGAUCGGCUCGCACCGCAGCUCUAGCAGUAACCUGGGCGCGGACGACGGCUACGUGCCCAUGACCCCCGGCGUGGCCCUCCUGGGGGCGGGCAGCGGGAGCUGCAAGAGCGACGACUACAUGCCCAUGAGCCCCACCAGCGUGUCGGCCCCGAAGCAGAUCCUGCAGCCACGCCCCGGGCCCGCCGCCUUGCCCCCUGCGGGGCCAGCGGUGCCCACGCCCGCGUCGGCAGCCGGCAGGGCCUUCCCGGGCACCGCGGGCGGCUACAAGACCGGCUCCCCGGCCGAGAGCUCCCCCGAGGACAGCGGGUACAUGCGCAUGUGGUGCGGUUCCAAGCUGUCCAUGGAGAGCGCCGACAGCAAGCUGCUGCCCAACGGGGACUACCUCAACAUGUCCCCCAGCGACGCGGGCACCGCGGGCACCCCGCCCGACUUCUUCUCUGCUGCGGGGGAGACUCUGCGGGGCGUGCCCGGCUACUGCUACAGCUCCCUGCCCCGCUCCUACAAGGCCCCCCACGCCUGCCACGGCGACAGCGACCAGUACGUGCUCAUGAGCUCGCCCGUGGGCCGGGUCUUGGAGGAGGAGCAGCUGGAGCCGGCCCCCGGCCCCGCGCAGGCGUCCAGUGCCUUCCCGGCCGCGGCGGCUGGCAGCGGCCACCCCCAGCCACCCCUCCCCGCCGUGCCUUCGCCUGGGAGGCCAGGCGGUGGCGGAGGUAGCCGCCCCGACGGCUUCCUGGCUCAGCGCUGCCGGGCAGUGCGGCCCACGCGCCUGUCUCUGGAGGGUCUGCCGGCCCUGCCCCGCAUGCACGAAUACCCGCUGCCCCCCGAACCCAGGAGUCCAGGCGAGUACAUCAACAUCGACUUCGGGGAGGCCGGCGCGCGCCUGUCGCCGCCCGCGCCCCCGCUCCUGGCCUCGGCCGCCUCCUCAUCGUCGCUGCUGUCCGCCAGCAGCCCGGCCUCGUCCCUGGGCUCCGGCACCCCGGGCACGAGCGGGGACAGCCGGCAGCGCUCCCCGCUCUCCGACUACAUGAACCUCGACUUCAGCUCGCCCAAGUCGCCGCAGCCGGGCGCCCAGGGCCGGGACCCCGUGGGCUCCUUGGACGCUCUGCUGUCCCCAGAGGCCUCCGUGUACCCGCCGCUGCCCCCUCGCCCGGCCGCCCCCUCCUCGGCCCUGCAGCCGCCGCCCCUGCCGCCCCCGCCGGGCGAGCUGUACCGCCUGCCUGCGGCAACCACCUCCCAGGGCCCAGGCGCGGCCGCCUCCUCGUCCUCGGGCACGGGGGACAACGGUGACUACACCGAGAUGGCCUUCGGCGUGGCCGCCACCCCGCCGCAACCGAUCGCGGCGCCCCCGAAGCCCGACGGUGCCCGGGUGAGCAGCCCCGUGUCCGGCCUCAAGAGGCUGAGCCUCAUGGAUCAGGUGUCGGGGGUCGAGGCCUUCCUGCAGGCCGGCCAGCCCCCAGACCCGCACCGAGGGGCCAAGGUCAUCCGCGCGGACCCUCAGGGGGGCCGCCGCCGCCACAGCUCCGAGACCUUCUCUUCGACCACCACUGUGACCCCCGUGUCCCCGUCCUUUGCUCACACCCCCAAGCGUCACAACUCGGCCUCGGUGGAGAACGUUUCUCUCAGGAAAGGCAGCGAAGGGGGCUGCGGCGGCGGCCUGGGUGGGGGCGACGAGCCCCCCUCGUCGCCGCGCCAGCCCUCGCCGACGCCGCAGCAGGCGCGGGCCUGGACGCCGGCUCAGCCCGGCUGCAGCCUGGUCGGCUGUCCCGGGGGCAACAGUUCGCCCAUGCGCCGGGAGACGUCCGCCGGCUUCCAGAAUGGCCUCAACUACAUCGCCAUCGACGUGAGGGACGAGCCGGGGCUGUCACCGCCCCUGCAGCAGCACCCACACGGGCAGACGGGCGACAGGAGCGCCUGGGGCCGCACCCGGAGCCUCGGGGGUCUCAUCAGCGCCGUGGGCGCUGCCAGCCCCGCCGGGGUGUGCGGGGGGCCAGGCCCCGGUGCCCUGCCCGCGGCCAACGCCUACGCCAGCAUCGACUUCUUGACGCAUCACCUGAAAGAGGCCACGGUGGUGAAAGAGCACAUUUCCCCGAUUUAUUUCUGAAAACUUCUCGACCCACCGCUCACCACAUUUUCCACCACGGUGCGUGGAAUCUGGAAGGCCUGCUUGGUGGUGGUGUGACGUGUGUCCAGGUCCCCUCCUGAGGAUCCUGGGUCAGGAUUCCUGGCAGAGCACAUGCAGGAGGAUCGCCCUGUGUCUGCAGAGGGCAGUGCACCUGUGAAAGAGGUCCUUGCUUCCCUGCCGGGAAACAGCCGUCCUGUGACUCCCAUUCCGGCGGGAACCGCCUUCCUCAUCCUCCCACGAGCCUCCCGGAGGCGCCGCUCAAGAGCAGAAUUGGGAAGAAGGCUGAAAGAGUGAAGACCUAUCCAGCUUCACCCCCGUGACGACACGCAUCACAGAAAACCAUGGGAAGAAGAUGCUCAGCAUUUUUUUAAAAACACAUCGGAAGCUGCUUGCCAUUUCCUUUUGGAUCUGAGCGACUGUCGUGUGUGGACGCACCUGUGACCCAGUCAGACGCAGACGUGCCCGUCUGCCCCGGUCUCCGGGGCAGGGGGUGGUGCAGUCCUCCUCUCGCGGUUUGUGUUUUGGUUUUCAACAUGAGUGGAAGGAGUGACUCACGAGAAGAUCGGACAGUCUUGGUCGUGGCCAGUGUCUCUCUAUCUCUCCUCGCCCUCGUUUUGACGCAGCAGAUGUAUCCCGCAGCAUGCUAGGAGAUUCUCCCAGCUCGCGUUCAAGUGGUAAAAUCUGGUGUUUACGGACAUCCGCUCAAAACUACCACCGUCCUACCUCAGUUCCAGGUGAAGCCGGGUCGGCGUGGUGGGGGGGGGAGUCCCCCUCUGCUGGCUGAGUCUCCAGCGCGGUCAUCUGCCUUAUCCCCCAGCCCCGGACACAGCUGCUCAUCCAAGUCCAGCCCAGGGACCUAUGUGUUUACUCCCACACAGAGCCCCCGCGUGGGACUGACAUCUCUCCACGGAGAUGCAACUCGAGAUUGGACUCUGAAGAUGGAUGGAUAAAUAAUAAUUAUUAUAUGUAACGAAAGCAAGCUACUUUUGCAAAUCAUCAACUGUAUGGGGUGGGGGAGGGUGGGAGGGGCGGGGUCUGGGAAGGCCGGGGUUGGGUGUGGGUUGAGUAUCUCUUUUUACCUUUAAGAGACUUGUUCAAGCUUCUCUCUGUAGAUGUUUAUGUAGGCACUUCAGAUUGCAGACGCCUUUGAUCCUAUUGACAAGCUCAAAUGUCUCUGCCGUCCUUAACCUUGAGCUUGCAUUUCUCUAACCAAAAAUUCACGUAGGCAUGCGAGCCGUUCCAAGACAGGGGUCAAGGGUUGGGCAGGUCUCUUCUAAAAUGUAUUAUCUUGAUGACGACGCACUCGUGUCGGGCCAUGAGGCUGCCCCAAACAGCGACGACAAAGACACAGAGAGACAGGAAAACGGAAAAGGACCUGAUAAAGAAGGCAUCCUGGGACACAGGGGAAGCAAAGCAAUCUCACAGUGCACGUCACUUGUCAGAGAAGUUCCCGACGAGGGGACCCCUCUUCGUGUGUUCUCAGUGUUCUGGAAAUAUCAGUGUUGUGGCGAUCACCGAGGGAGUCCCUAGAAGCCACCGCCCUUGACCUGCAGAGUGUCAGCUCACCUCUGCGCUCCCUUGACACGCGGGCGAGGGGGGCUCUAGGCGCCCCCACUCCCACGGGCCCAUCCUCAGUGCCUCUCUGAGAGUCCUAUAGACGUUACGCAAAUUCGUUGGAGAUACGAGUUGGGUUUUUUUUUGGGGGUGGGGUGGGAUGGUAGGGGGAGAAAAAAAUAUAUAUAAAUAUAUAGAUAUAUAUCAGUAUAGAAUAAUGCAUUCAUAAAAUGAGGCUUUUCUAGAGGAAGACCAAAAAGAUUCGAUGUCUUAAACCUAUAUUUAAUCGCAAUGCAAGCGUCUUUCUCCUUCUACGCUGACCUUUCGGAACAGAGGAUUGUAUCGCAAGACAAAGUUGAAUGUAAAGUGACCUCCCUGAGAGCUUCUCAAGUUUCACUUCUGGAAUCACGCACCACAGCCGUGCACAGACCAUCUGAUGUUGGUUUGAAGGUCAUGUUCAGUGUGUAUAUAGAGAGACUUUAUGAAAAAGAUGUAUAAAGUGUCCUAAAGGUUUGGUUUAGUUCUGGGAUGCGGGAUGGAUGGAGUUGCUAUGGAAACCGCCCCUCCCUGCAGGACUGGACAUGGACCCUGCUGGAUGCAGCGUCAGACUCCCCUUCCCUCACGUGGUCCUGCCACCCUCCCCGUGGUCAUGUUCCUCCUGCCGCUUCAAACGAGCGACAUAAAAAAGUUGAUAAUAUACUAAAUUUUCUUCUAUCUUGUACAUUUCAAAAAAGAAAAAAAAAAAAGGCAUAUGCAAUAUUUACAUUUUUAAUUUAGUUUACAGAAUGGAACCAAAAUGUAUAAAUGUUAUGUUUGUUAAAACUUCACAAUGUAUAUUGGGUCUUUGUACAUUUUGCCUGACUUACCUUAAAGUUAAAAUAUUUUUUGCUAUAUAAACUUUAACAGUUAUUAAACAGUGUUUUCUUUUGGGGGGAUACGUAUUGUUUCUGGAGAUCAAGAUGUUAAAUAUAUUUCUCGCUGUCGUGACAUGACGAAAGACUGACUUCUCCUGCUGUCUUCCACUGUCUCCGCUGUACAGAAGGACCGACAUGGCACUGCUGGGAACCAGACUCCACGGAACUAGACUAGUGCAUUGUAUUUAGUCUGUAUUGAUCAUGGAUGCUCUCCUUAAUAGCCAUAUGCAAUACAAUAAAAUACAUUAUUUAUGAAAUGAA